GAGGAAUAUUGGUCAAUGGACGAAAGUCUGAACCAGCCAAGUAGCGUGCAGGAUGACGGCCCUCUGGGUUGUAAACUGCUUUUAGUUGGGAAUAAAAAAGAGGACGUGUCCUCUAUUGUAUGUACCUUCAGAAAAAGGACCGGCUAAUUCCGUGCCAGCAGCCGCGGUAAUACGGAAGGUCCAGGCGUUAUCCGGAUUUAUUGGGUUUAAAGGGAGCGUAGGCGGAUUAUUAAGUCAGUGGUGAAAGACGGUGGCUCAACCAUCGUUAGCCAUUGAAACUGGUAGUCUUGAGUGCAGACAGGGAUGCUGGAACUCGUGGUGUAGCGGUGAAAUGCUUAGAUAUCACGAUGAACUCCGAUCGCGAAGGCAGGUGUCCGGGCUGCAACUGACGCUGAGGCUCGAAAGUGUGGGUAUCAAACAGGAUUAGAUACCCUGGUAGUCCACACAGUAAACGAUGUAUACUCGCGGUUUGCGAUAGACAGUAAGCCGCCAAGCGAAAGCAUUAAGUAUACCACCUGGGGAGUACGCCGGCAACGGUG
rnacentral:rRNA from 1 species